AUUGAACGCUGGCGGCAGGCCUAACACAUGCAAGUCGAACGAGUGGCGGACGGGUGAGUAAUGUCUGGGAAACUGCCUGAUGGAGGGGGAUAACUACUGGAAACGGUAGCUAAUCCCGCAUACCAUCAGAUGUGCCCAGAAGGGAUUAUAUAGUAGGUGGGGUAAGGGCUCACAUAGGCGACGAUCCCUAGCUGGUCUGAGAGGAUGACCAGCCACACUGGAACUGAGACACGGUCCAGACUCCUACGGGAGGCAGCAGUGGGGAGUAUUGCACAAUGGGCGCACGCCUGAUGCAGCCAUGCCGCGUGUGUGAAGAAGGCCUUCGGGUUGUAAAGCACUUUCAGCGAGGAGGCGUUACUCGCAGAAGAAGCACCGGCUAACUCCGUGCCAGCAGCCGCGGUAAUUC
rnacentral:rRNA from 1 species